rnacentral:sRNA from 1 species
ACAAAUGAUCCACCUAGCGCACACACGAGGAUCCCGGAAAAUUAGUUCGUCCCGAUUUCGUUUCCUACAAAAUUCAUAAGGGCGAUGCUCGGUCCCCCGAUUUAGUUUUGUUCAAGGUAAAGAAAAGAAUAAGAAGGAAUUUAAAAAGAAGCUAGGGGAAAAAAAACCGCGACUCAUGCUGUCUUGGCAUUGGGCAGAGAUUGGCAGUGCCUUCAGCCGUGAUUACCGGCAAAACCGGUUUUGGUCAGAGUUGGAGGUUUGCCUUCUUUGAACUUAUUGGUGACGAACAUGAUGUCGUCAUCAGUGAUGCCAUAUUUCUCGAUGACCUUCAUGAAUUCGUCCGUAAAAAGGAUCUGGACAUCCCCGUGGCUGGGCUGUUUUGACGUCGGACUAGGUGGGGUUGGAACUGGGUCCAAAUCCUGGGAGAAAGCAAGCCCCCACAAGCAUGUGGUUAAAAGAGGCAACAAAAUGGCAGCCAUUCUGAUCGUAAAAAAAAGAAAUAAGGCAUUUGAUCAUAUGUUAAUUAAAAGACAUCAAAAGAAGAAAAAAACGUCAUGUGAAAGAUGUAGUAGUAAAAAAUAUGUGCAUAAAUGAAAAGAGAAAAGGACAUUUACCUGAUGGAAACCUUUCUAUGUACAUGCGCUAUUUUGUUCCUGUUGGAUCAAUAUAUCUACUCCGUUCCCGAUAAUCAAUUACUGUUCAUCAAUCGUUAAUUGUUUCUGUUACUAUCCCGAGGUAAUGUUAAUCAAAUUUCAAAAUCUUUACACUCCUACAAACCACUCUAACUUCAGAAAUUUUAAUGAGGAUGACAGAAAAAGACAAAAAUUCAACAACAACAAAUGUCAAUUGGUAUUCUUAAUUACUGUGAUGUUAAUCAAAUACCUGCACCAAGGAUAUACAAAACAAUUUGACAUUAGAAAUGUUAAUGUUAAUGACAAAAAUGAUUCAAAUGUUUAAAACAAAUUCAUUUACCGGUGCAUGUUAUUGUAUAUGAUUUGUAUAUUAUCUGUAUUUCAUAUGAAAUAUCUGCAGUUUAUGGCUAA